rnacentral:rRNA from 1 species
AGUAUUUUGACUAUACAAAGGUAUUGAAAAAAAAUUUUAAUUGAAUGCUAAGAAAAUGGACUUACAAUAAAUUUCUUUUUUAAAUUUUUAAAAAUUGAAGUUAAUUUUAUUUGUGCAGAGGCAAUAAUAAAUAUUAGUGACAAGAAGACCCUGAGAAUUUAUUAUUUUGAAAAAAUAAAUAGCUAUUUCAAAAUAUUAAUUGGGGCGAUUAAUAAAAAUUAAUAACUUUAUUUAAAAAAUAAAAUGAUCCAUUAAUAAUGAUUAUAUGAAAAAAUACUCCAGGGAUAACAGCGUAAUAAUUUUUGAUAGUUCAUAUAGACAAAAUAGUUUGCGACCUCGAUGUUGGAUUAGGAUACUUUUAUAGUGAAGAAGCUAUAUUAAGAAGUUUGUUCAACUUUUAAAUUCCU